rnacentral:rRNA from 1 species
GACGAACGCUAGCGGUAGGCUUAACACAUGCAAGUCGAACGCGUGUAGCAAUACACGAGUGGCGCACGGGUGAGUAACGCGUGGAUAUCUGCCUUUUGGUUCGGAAUAACCCCGGGAAACUGGGGCUAAUACCGGAUGGUUCCUUCGGGAUAAAGAUUUAUCGCCAAAAGAUGAGUCCGCGUCCGAUUAGCUAGUUGGUGAGGUAAGGGCUUACCAAGGCAACGAUCGGUAGCUGGUCUGAGAGGAUGACCAGCCUCACUGGGACUGAGACACGGCCCAGACUCCUACGGGAGGCAGCAGUGGGGAAUAUUGGACAAUGGGCGCAAGCCUGAUCCAGCCAUGCCGCGUGGGUGAUGAAGGCCCUAGGGUUGUAAAGCCCUUUCGGCGGGGAAGAUAAUGACGGUACCCGCAGAAGAAGCCCCGGCUAACUUCGUGCCAGCAGCCGCGGUAA